rnacentral:tRNA from 1 species
CAAAGAAUAGUUUAAUAAAAAUAGUAAUUUUGGAGAUUAUAGAUAAAGAAAUUCUUUUUCUUUGA